rnacentral:rRNA from 1 species
UACGUAGGGGGCAAGCGUUGUCCGGAAUCAUUGGGCGUAAAGCGCGUGUAGGCGGCUCGAUAAGUCUGCUGUGAAAGUCCAGGGCUCAACCCUGGAAUGCCGGUGGAAACUGUCGAGCUAGAGUCCGGAAGAGGCGAGUGGAAUUCCUGGUGGAGCGGUGAAAUGCGUAGAGAUCCGGAGGAACACCGACGGCGCAGGCAGCGUCCUGGCCGCUUGCUGACACUGAGGCACGAAAGCUGGGGGAGCAAACAGG